rnacentral:rRNA from 1 species
UUGGAGGGCAAGUCUGGUGCCAGCAGCCGCGGUAAUUCCAGCUCCAAUAGCGUAUAUUAAAGUUGUUGCAGUUAAAAGGCUCGUAGUUGAACUUCGGGGUUCACCCAUUGGUCAGGCUUAAUUGUCUGUACUGGUGAGAUGAAUCUCUACCUUCUGAGGAACUUUCAUGCCAUUUAUUUGGUGUGAUUGGAAAUCAGGACUGUUACUUUGAAAAAAUUAGAGUGUUUAAAGCAGGCUAACGUCUGAAUACAUUAGCAUGGAAUAAUGAAAUAGGACGGAUUGAUUCUAUUUCGUUGGUUUCUAGGAUCACCGUAAUGAUUAAUAGGGAUAGUUGGGGGCAUUAGUAUUCAAUUGUCAGAGGUGAAAUUCUUGGAUUUAUUGAAGACUAACUACUGCGAAAGCAUUUGCCAAGGAUGUUUUCAUUAAUCAAGAACGAAAGUUAGGGGAUCGAAGACGAUCAGAUACCGUCGUAGUCUUAACCAUAAACUAUGCCGACUAGGGAUCGGACGCAGUUAAUUUUAUAAUGACGUGUUCGGCACCUUACGGGAAACCAAAG